UGCAUGUUUGGAUGAGAGUGGAGGCAUAAAUGCAUAAGGGAGCUGAGUUUCUACCAUUCUGGGAGAAACCAGGUUCGGCAGCCGAAGGAACUUUCGGCCGCCGAACAUGCUUGUGGAGGCAGCCUUCGGCUGCCGAAGCUUGCCCCCGAAAGGAGACUUUCGUCUCUGUCUGGGACUUUCGGCCGCCGAAAGUGCCGCCGAACAUGCAUGAGUUUCGCCUCUGUCUGGGAGUUUCGG
rnacentral:lncRNA from 1 species